AACGGCAGCCUCAUCUGGGGAACAUAGCGAUACAUCCAGCUCUCCCGCUGCCUAGCCUGUGUGUAUUGAAUAGGAGUUGGAAAGGGCUGGAGUUUUUUGCCUUGAGUCAUUGAGCAGCGCGGGGCUGUGUGAUCAGGACAUUCAGAUACAUGUAACCCUGUAAGAAUGCCAUUUCAGGAUUACGUCGAGCGAGGGAGAGAGGCAACUGCAUUUCCACUGGCCACCAGCCUUCCCCUUGCCCCGUCCUCUCUGCUGAUGGCUGUGAAUUGAAAAGGUAAUUUAAUCCAGAUUCGGACUGGACACUCAGAGGGAGAGAGAGGGAGAAAAAUGUUUGAAAACGUCACAUCUACCGAUGAUCACGUUUACGGAUCUUCAAUUAUCCCUUACCACGAAGAUAGGUGGCGUGCGUUUCUGGGGCCGCACUUCAGGGACUCUCUUUAUAGAAAAAUGUCAUUCCAACAAGCGGAACACGUCAGUCCGUCCACAGGUUGUGUUUCCUGGUGUGAGAGACAACGGAGCGAUCAGUUCUAACCUGCACAGCAGGAAUAACGGUCCUUCCUCAAGUCUUUAAAGGUUUCUUUUUUUCCCCUUUCCGUUUAAACAAAAAUCUCGCCUUGAUCUUCAUGUUCCUUCAUCUGCACGCUGUCGACCUCCCAACAGUCUUACCAAACAACAGAGCCAGGACAGAGCAGGACCGUAAAGCGUCGUGAAAAGAGCCGGGAGGGGGGGGGAACGAGCCGAUGCCGAGUCCUGGAAUCUGAUCAGACUCUUAUCAAUGAAGCAGCAGAUCAUGGCGGAUGGCCCCAGGUGUAAGAGGCGAAAACAAGCCAACCCCAGGAGGAAAAACGAUAAUAAAACCAUUCAUUAGGAUUGCGAAGAUUUAUCCCCCCGCCCCCUCUACUUACCUCAGACCCCAGCAGCUAUCCAUCAUCCGCUGUAAACACAUUAGUAAAGGAUCUUUCCUUUCUGUUAAGAUGUAUUGAUCAUUGUCAAUAAAGGUACUUUGGAGGAA